rnacentral:rRNA from 1 species
CCCUUAGAUGUUCUGGGCCGCACGCGCGCUACACUGAUGCACUCAACGAGUCUCCACCUUGACCGAAAGGUCCGGGAAACCUUCGAACUUGCAUCGUGAUGGGGAUAGAUUAUUGCAACUAUUAAUCUUCAACGAGGAAUACCUAGUAGGCGCAUGUCAUCAGCGUGCGUCGAUUACGUCCCUGCCCUUUGUACACACCGCCCGUCGCACCUACCGAUUGAAUGGUCCGGUGAAAUCUCCGGACUGGCGUGAGUCGGAGCAAUCUGACAAACACCGGAAAGUUGAUUAAACCUUACCAUUUAGAGGAAGGUGAAGUCGUAACA